rnacentral:rRNA from 1 species
UACAGAGGGUGCGAGCGUUAAUCGGAUUUACUGGGCGUAAAGGGCGCGUAGGCGGUAGAUUAAGUUAGAUGUGAAAUCCCUGGGCUUAACCUAGGAACUGCGUCUAAUACUGGUUUACUAGAGUAUUGUAGAGGGUAGUGGAAUUUCCGGUGUAGCGGUGAAAUGCGUAGAGAUCGGAAGGAACACCUGUGGCGAAAGCGGCUCACUGGACCAUUACUGACGCUGAGGCACGAAAGCUAGGGGAGCAAACAGG